UUGGUUAAGUUAGAAAGGGCGCACGGUGGAUGCCUUGGCACUAGGAGCCGAAGAAGGACGGGACUAACACCGAUAUGCUUUGGGGAGCUGUACGUAAGCGUUGAUCCAGAGAUUUCCGAAUGGGGGAACCCACUAUCUUUAGUCGGAUAGUAUCCUUACGUGAAUACAUAGCGUAAGGAAGGCAGACCCAGGGAACUGAAACAUCUAAGUACCUGGAGGAAGAGAAAGAAAAAUCGAUUUCCUGAGUAGCGGCGAGCGAAACGGAAAGAGCCCAAACCAAGAAGCUUGCUUCUUGGGGUUGUAGGACACUCUAUACGGAGUUACAAAAGAAAGUUAUAAAUGAAGCGGUCUGGAAAGGCCCGCCAAAGACGGUAACAGCCCGGUAGUUGAAAUGGCUUUCCCUCCAGAGUGGAUCCUGAGUACGGCGGAACACGUGAAAUUCCGUCGGAAUCCGGGAGGACCAUCUCCCAAGGCUAAAUACUCCCUAGUGACCGAUAGUGAACCAGUACCGUGAGGGAAAGGUGAAAAGCACCCCGGAAGGGGAGUGAAACAGUUCCUGAAACCGUGUGCCUACAAGUAGUUAGAGCCCGUUAAUGGGUGAUAGCGUGCCUUUUGUAGAAUGAACCGGCGAGUUACGAUUUGUUGCAAGGUUAAGCGGAAAAAGCGGAGCCGUAGCGAAAGCGAGUCUGAAUAGGGCGCAUAAGUAACAGGUCGUAGACCCGAAACCAGGUGAUCUACCCAUGUCCAGGAUGAAGGUAAGGUAAUACUUACUGGAGGUCCGAACCCACGCACGUUGAAAAGUGCGGGGAUGAGGUGUGGGUAGCGGAGAAAUUCCAAUCGAACUUGGAGAUAGCUGGUUCUCUCCGAAAUAGCUUUAGGGCUAGCCUCGAGGUAAAGAGUCAUGGAGGUAGAGCACUGUUUGGACUAGGGGCCCUUCUCGGGUUACCGAAUUCAGAUAAACUCCGAAUGCCAUGUACUUAUACUCGGGAGUCAGACUGCGAGUGAUAAGAUCCGUAGUCGAAAGGGAAACAGCCCAGACCACCAGUUAAGGUCCCAAAAUAUAUGUUAAGUGGAAAAGGAUGUGGGGUUGCUUAGACAACCAGGAUGUUGGCUUAGAAGCAGCCACCAUUGAAAGAGUGCGUAAUAGCUCACUGGUCGAGUGACCCCGCGCCGAAAAUGUACCGGGGCUAAACAUAUUACCGAAACUGUGGAUGAACCUC
rnacentral:rRNA from 2 species